UAGGGCUGUUUAGUAAUUCUUUUGUUCUU
rnacentral:piRNA from 1 species